AAAAGUUUGCCGGCUUCCGCAGUGAUGGAUCACCGUUUUAGUGGCAUUUAAAUCCCCGGCGCUCCGCCGUCUAGGUGACGCGCAGUCGCCCCCCCAGGCAGCCUAGGCGGCGGCAGCUGCUGCGGCGACUGCAAAGGCCGAUUUGGAGUGCUGGAGCGAAGAAGAGCAAAAGCUGCGUUCUGCGCGCGCCCGACUCCGCUGCCCGCCCCGCCAGGCCUCCGGGAGGUGGGGGCUGGGAGGCGUCCCCCGCUCCCGCCCCCUCCCCACCGUUCAAUGAAAGAUGAACUGGCGAGAGGUCUGUUUUGCCUGAACCCAUCAACAGCUGGGAGAUUAAUCAACCACACUGAAAAUGUGGAGGGAUUUAUGGGGGAGGGGGUUGAAAUGUGGGUGUUUGAAACAAAAGUGUAUAAACAAAUGAAUUGUUGAUAACUUAGUUAUUGACCUGGAGACUGGUAGCUUAUUAAAGAAACUCCGUGUUACUCAUUCCUGGAGUUGGGGGUUUCUGUAGGCACUUUAUUUCUCCACUUUCAAGAGCUUGGGCUUGGCCCAAAUCUUAGACUGUCCAAUUCUGCCUCUAUUACCAAUUUAAAUCUAUGGCUUGAACCUGUGCACUGAAAAUCAAAUCCUUUAAAAAGAAAGAGGAGAAGAAGAAGCAAAAAAGAAAGAAAAAA
ensembl:lncRNA HOTAIRM1 HOXA transcript antisense RNA, myeloid-specific 1